CCUACGGGAGGCAGCAGUAGGGAAUAUUGCUCAAUGGGGGAAACCCUGAAGCAGCAACGCCGCGUGGAGGAUGAAGGUUUUCGGAUUGUAAACUCCUUUUGUUAGAGAAGAGAAGGACGGUAGCUAACGAAUAAGCACCGGCUAACUCCGUGCCAGCAGCCGCGGUAAUACGGAGGGUGCAAGCGUUCCUCGGAAUCACUGGGCGUAAAGAGCGCGUAGGCGGGAUAGCAAGUCAGAUGUGAAAUCCUAUGGCUUAACCAUAGAACUGCAUUUGAAACUGUUAUUCUAGAGUAUGGGAGAGGUAGGUGGAAUUCUUGGUGUAGUGGUCAACUCCGUAGAGAUCACGAGGCAUACUCAUUGCGAAGGCGACCUGCUAGAACAUACCUGACGCUGAUGCGCG
rnacentral:rRNA from 1 species